rnacentral:rRNA from 1 species
AACGAACGCUGGCGGCAUGCCUAACACAUGCAAGUCGAACGAGACCUUCGGGUCUAGUGGCGCACGGGUGCGUAACGCGUGGGAACCUGCCCUUAGGUUCGGAAUAACUCCCCGAAAGGGGUGCUAAUACCGGAUAAUGUCUUCGGACCAAAGAUCUAUCGCCUUUGGAUGGGCCCGCGUUGGAUUAGCUAGUUGGUAGGGUAAAAGCCUACCAAGGCGAGGAUCCAUAGCUGGUCUGAGAGGAUGAUCAGCCACACUGGGACUGAGACACGGCCCAGACUCCGACGGAAGGGAGUAGUGGGGAAUAUUGGACGAUGGGGGAAAGCCUGAUCCAGCAAUGCCGGGUGAGUGAGGAAGGCCUUAGGGUUGUAAAGCUCUUUUACCCGGGAUGAUAAUGACAGUACCGGGAGAAUAAGCUCCGGCUAACUCCGUG